rnacentral:lncRNA from 10 species
AAAAAGUCCAGAUUCAGUGUGGAUACGGCCAUGGGGACAUUCACAUCAAAUUAAUGUGCUCCACUUUUAUUGCUGAAAGAGCGCAGGAGAUCAGAGAAUCUAUGUGGAGCUGAAUUCCCACAUAAAUGAUGAAGCUGAAGCCAAAAGAGGUUCAGUACUUACCCAAGGCCACAUACGGUUGAUAAGUAGCAGAGACAUUUUGGAAUUCGGGUUUGCUAUCUCUAGGCCCUAAGUUCUGGAGAAU